rnacentral:rRNA from 1 species
AAAGUGUGACAGGGUCAUCCCGAGUGCCGACCGCUGAGGUUGGCUUUUACCCAGUCUAGAAAGCUGGGGGAAUAAGGAGAGGGCAAGUCUGGUGUCAGCCGCCGCGGUAAUACCAGCUCUCCGAGUGGUGUGGACGUUUAUUGGGCCUAAAGCAUCCGUAGCUGGCUGGGCAAGUCCCCUGUUAAACCCACCGAUUUAAUCGUUGGUCUGCGGGGGAUACUGCUCGGCUAGGGGACGAGAGAGGCAGACGGUAUUCUCGGGGUAGGGGUGAAAUCCUAUAAUCCCGAGAAGACCACCAGUGGCGAAGGCUGUCUGCUAGAACGCGCCCGACGGUGAGGGAUGAAAGCUGGGGGAGCGAACCGGAUUAGAUACCCGGGUAGUCCCAGCCGUAAACGAUGCAGACUAGGUGUUUGGACGGCCACGUGCCGUUCUAGUGCCGCAGGGAAGCUGUUAAGUCUGCCGCCUGGGGAGUACGAUCGCAAGGUUGAAACUUAAAGGAAUUGGCGGGGGAGCAC